rnacentral:rRNA from 1 species
GACGAACGCUGGCGGCGUGCUUAACACAUGCAAGUCGAACGGAAAGGCCCUGCUUUUGUGGGGUGCUCGAGUGGCGAACGGGUGAGUAACACGUGAGUAACCUGCCCUUGACUUUGGGAUAACUUCAGGAAACUGGGGCUAAUACCGGAUAGGAGCUCCUGCUGCAUGGUGGGGGUUGGAAAGUUUCGGUGGUUGGGGAUGGACUCGCGGCUUAUCAGCUUGUUGGUGGGGUAGUGGCUUACCAAGGCUUUGACGGGUAGCCGGCCUGAGAGGGUGACCGGCCACAUUGGGACUGAGAUACGGCCCAGACUACUACAGGAGGCAGCAGUGGGGAAUAUUGCACAAUGGGCGGAAGCCUGAUGCAGCAACGCCGCGUGCGGGAUGACGGCCUUCGGGUUGUAAACCGCUUUCGCCUGUGACGAAGCGUGAGUGACGGUAAUGGGUAAAGAAGCACCGGCUAACUACGUG